rnacentral:rRNA from 1 species
UACGAAGGGGGCUAGCGUUGCUCGGAAUUACUGGGCGUAAAGGGCGCGUAGGCGGCGCAUUUAGUCAGGCGUGAAAUUCCUGGGCUCAACCUGGGGACUGCGCUUGAUACGGGUGUGCUAGAGGGCAGGAGAGGCUCGCGGAAUUCCCAGUGUAGAGGUGAAAUUCGUAGAUAUCAGGAGGAACACCGGUGGCGAAGGCGGCCAUCUGGACGGAUACUGACGCUGAGACGCGAAAGCGUGGGUAGCAAACAGG